UCCAAUGAUGAUAUGCCCAACAUUUGGAGGUGCAGAUGGCUCCAGUAUCCUGUUUAUAGGAUGAACCUACCUAGAGGUGCAGAUGGGUAAGUCUGUGGUUCUUGAGGA
rnacentral:snoRNA from 2 species